GAUGAACGCUGGCGGCGUGCCUAAUACAUGCAAGUCGAGCGAAUGGAUGAGAGCUUGCUCUCAGAAGUUAGCGGCGGACGGGUGAGUAACACGUGGGUAACCUGCCCUUAAGACUGGGAUAACAUCGAGAAAUCGGUGCUAAUACCGGAUAAUUUAUUUGACCGCAUGGUCGAAUAAUGAAAGGUGGCGUAAGCUACCACUUAUGGAUGGACCCGCGGCGUAUUAGCUAGUUGGUGAGGUAAUGGCUCACCAAGGCAACGAUACGUAGCCGACCUGAGAGGGUGAUCGGCCACAAUAGGACUGAGACACGGCCCAGACUCCUACGGGAGGCAGCAGUAGGGAAUCUUCCGCAAUGGACGAAAGUCUGACGGAGCAACGCCGCGUGAGUGAUGAAGGCUUUCGGGUCGUAAAACUCUGUUGUUAGGGAAGAACAAGUACCGUUCGAAUAGGGCGGUACCUUGACGGUACCUAACCAGAAAGCCACGGCUAACUACGUGCCAGCAGCCGCGGUAA
rnacentral:rRNA from 1 species